GGGGCAGUAGCUCAGCUGGGAGAGCACCUGCUUUGCAAGCAGGGGGUCGGGAGUUCGAUCCUCCUCUGCUCCA
rnacentral:tRNA from 1 species